UUACCCUACUGAUGCCCGCGU
rnacentral:sRNA from 1 species